rnacentral:rRNA from 1 species
AACGAACGCUGGCGGCAGGCCUAACACAUGCAAGUCGAACGCGCGUAGCAAUACGCGAGUGGCGCACGGGUGAGUAACACGUGGGAAUCAACCCUGAGGUUCGGAAUAACCGCGGGAAACUGCGGCUAAUACCGGAUGUCCCCUAUGGGGGAAAGAUUUAUCGCCUUGGGACGAGCCCGCGUCCGAUUAGCUAGUUGGUGAGGUAACGGCUCACCAAGGCUACGAUCGGUAGCUGGUCUGAGAGGAUGACCAGCCACACUGGAACUGAGAUACGGUCCAGACUCCUACGGGAGGCAGCAGUGGGGAAUAUUGGGCAAUGGAGGCAACUCUGACCCAGCCAUGCCGCGUGGGUGACGAAGGUCUUCGGAUUGUAAAGCCCUUUCGGCGGAGACGA